rnacentral:rRNA from 1 species
CCUACGGGAGGCAGCAGUGGGGAAUAUUGCACAAUGGGCGAAAGCCUGACGCAGCGACGCCGCGUGUAUGAUGAAGGUCUUCGGAUCGUAAACCUCUGUCAGCAGGGAAGAACGGUCACUGUGCUAAUCAGCAGUGAAUUGACGGUACCUGCAAAAGAAGCACCGGCUAACUCCGUGCCAGCAGCCGCGGUAAUACGGAGGGUGCGAGCGUUAAUCGGAAUUACUGGGCGUAAAGCGCUCGUAGGCGGUAUGUCAAGUCAAGGGUGAAAUCCCCGGGCUCAACGUGGGAACUGCCUUGGAUACUGGCAAACUGGAGUGUGUGAGAGGAUAGUGGAAUUCCAGGUGUAGGAGUGAAAUGCGUAGAGAUCUGGAGGAACAUCAGUGGCGAAGGCGACUAUCUGGCCCAUAACUGACGCUGAGGAGCGAAAGCGUGGGGAGCAAACAGGAUUAGAUACCCGUGUAGUC